GUUGGUUGAGAUUGGACGUGUUUGUGCGGCUCUGCGUUUGCUCGUUCGUUCAUUGUGCGGUUGGAGCAUCUUUUGCUUUAGAACAAAAAAAAACUGAACCAGCAAUAAUCAUCACCGUCAUCGUUAUCAUUUUGGAAAACGUGACGAAUUUGAAAUUACAUAUUUCUGCUGGAUAUAGUGCAGUGGUGGAAACGGAAAUUAACUGAUCGAGAACUACACUCUUGUGAGAAACUGCAUCUGAAAAAGUGAGCAUCGCCUUUGCUGACCGCAGUGUCUAGUUAGUAAAGGAGCGCAGUGGAAAUAGUUUGGAACUUCCAUUUUUGUUCUGUCCCUCUCUACACGCAGUCGUUUAUUUUUUUUCAUUUUGUUCAUCCGUCCGCAGCGCAGAGUCGCAGCCCGAUGUUGAGUCAAGAUCGAGAAAUCUAGCUGCAGGCUUUUUCGGGUGUGUAUUAGUGAGUGUUCUGGCUACUUUGCAUGACAGCUGCUUCAGCUGCUCUCUCCGACGAGGCGUUUUCUAUGCUGCGAGUGAAUCGCUCUUUUUUCCUCUUCUUUCAUCGGUGUGUAUGUGAAGCACUACCUGCAAGCAUAGAAGUGUAAACAAUCAUUUUGAGAACUGUCAAAGUGGAGCUGAAUACAAAGUGCAGAAAAUACGCGAAUUGUGACGAACAUCCGUAGUAUUUCAUCAGUUCUGAGUUGAUUGAUGCAAGAGUUUUGAGAUUAUACGCAAGAAGUUAUGAUAUGAAUACGCGUUGCGUAGCUGGGCUGUACUGAAUGAGAUACCCCCCAAAAGUUGAAGCAGUAACAUCAGGAAGCGAAUUACCCAGUAGGAUGCAGAUUUUAGUUUACUUCUGAAUCCCCGAACUUAUCCAACAUCAUCACCCUACCUACACUCACGCUCAAAUAUUCAUACCUACCCUAAAGCUGCCACUAUCAAGACGCACAAGGGCCACAAAUUAAGGAGCAGGCGAAAUCUAGAAAUGAAAAUUGUGAAUGAAAAUCCGCAGUGGUUAGGUUGUGUUUUGUUUUGAAACCGCUCGCGUAAUCAGCCAAUUAUUACGAGCUAAAAUCUAGUGCGUUUAUUGUUUGCUUCGACGGGUGACGGACUCCGCACAUUCGCCCGUGAAGGUUAUGCAGUAGUAGCAAAGUGUUUCUGUCGACUAAAAUAAAGUGUCCGUGUUAUAGGCGGUGGAAAGUGUCCGUUGUAUGCUACGUUAUUUGUUCAAUUGUAUAUAUUUGAAGUUAGUUAAAGAAGUUGGCAGCAAAAUUGCAAGGUUUUCUGCGUCAUCAUUGGUUCAUGUCCAGUUAGGUUCACGGCAGGGUUAGCUUCUGUGCGCCGUGCUGUUGGAUGGCGGCUGUUGGUGGUCCGACCAGGCAAUCGCGCGGGGUUUCCAUGAGUGUGUCGAUGUCGCUGGUACAGGGUGGUGCAGCUGGUGCGGCCGGACCGCAGGGAGCUAUCCUGGCGGCGGCCGCACCCUAUUAUCAACCACCGGCCGUUCCCCAGGAUGUGCAGCCAGAUCGCCCCAUUGGUUACGGAGCAUUCGGAGUCGUAUGGGCUGUCACAGAUCCUCGUGACGGACGUCGGGUCGCACUGAAAAAACUGCCAAACGUGUUCCAGUCGCUGGUGUCAUCGAAACGUGUUUUCCGGGAGCUGAAAAUGCUCUGCUUCUUUAAGCACGAAAACGUACUGUCAGCACUCGACAUCUUACAGCCACCUCAUUUGGACUUUUUCCAAGAAAUCUACGUCAUCACCGAACUACUUCAGUCGGAUCUACAUAAAAUCAUCGUGUCGCCUCAGCACCUCUCAGCGGAUCAUAUCAAAGUGUUUCUGUACCAGAUCCUACGCGGUCUUAAGUAUCUCCACUCGGCACGUAUUCUCCACCGAGACAUCAAACCCGGAAAUUUGCUCGUGAAUAGCAACUGUGUACUCAAGAUUUGCGAUUUUGGACUGGCCCGUGUUGAGGAACCUGACCAAUCGAAGCAUAUGACACAGGAAGUAGUUACUCAGUAUUACCGUGCACCGGAGAUUCUCAUGGGUGCACGACAUUAUUCGGCUGCCGUCGACGUUUGGUCGGUGGGAUGCAUAUUCGGUGAGCUGUUAGGCAGGAGGAUUCUUUUCCAGGCACAAAGCCCAGUGCAGCAGCUGGAGCUCAUCACAGAACUGUUGGGCACCCCCUCGUUAGAAGACAUGCGACACGCCUGUGACGGAGCCAGAACUCACAUGCUCCGACGAGCCCCGAAACCGCCAUCACACUCCGCACUGUACACGCUUAGCACGCAUGCCACCCACGAAGCAGUGCAUCUACUCUGCCAGAUGCUGGUUUUCGACCCAGACAAAAGAAUAUCGGUGAUUGAUGCCCUGGCACAUCCAUACGUCGAUGAGGGUCGGCUCCGUUACCAUUCCUGCAUGUGCAAAUGCUGUUACACUCCGUCGGCGGGUAUGCGUCAGUACGCGGCCGAGUUCGAGCCUUCGGCAGCGCAACCCUUCGAUGAUCUCUGGGAGCGAAAGCUGACCUCGGUACAGCAAGUGAAAGAGGAAAUGCACAAAUUCAUUGCCGAACAGCUGCAAACUGGUCGUGUGCCAUUAUGUAUAAAUCCUCAGAGUGCCGCUUUCAAGAGUUUUGCCAGUAUCGUCAACAACAGCAAUAACAAUCAUCAGCCAUCACCAUCAUCAAAUUAUCAUCAACAGUAGCGUGUAAACGAAAGACACUUAGAAUGUCGCUAGGAGGCAGUGAGAUAGCACAGAACUACCAGCUGCAAAUAGACCAGAAAAAAAUAAACAGAAAACACACUUCCGCUAGUCUCUUCUCGGUCUAGAUCCACUACUACAACUAGCUAAAGAACUAAGAAUCAAUCGCUCGAGUGACUUUGAACGCGCUGCGGACUGGUUGCCCUAGCUCUACCGUAGCUCACCCAUCGGAGCUUCCUCCCUCUCCACAUCAGUGGGAAUGACACAAUGAAGCCAUGGCAGCCUGAAAUUUGUAAACUAUUGCAAUAAAUUUGCAGUAACGAUGACUCGACGCAACUCGGACAAAGCAUAAUUGGAAACAACAACAAAAACAAAAAACAAAAUAAAUCAUAAUUUGGGAGACAAAAAAAAAUUAGAAAACAUAUUUCAUAGCAUGAAAGUUACUAGUGCUAUAGCACCCACUACGAGCGGAUAACUACGAACCUAUUUGAAAGAACACUAGCCAGCAGACCAGGAGGAGGAAACACGAAUGAUAGACAAAUCUUAACCAAACCGGAGAACGACACUUUAAUCGAGAAGACUUACGCGCACCCGCGCGCGUACAUGCAACGCAACCGAAGGAGAAAUCCGGAGUAAGAUGCUAGUCGAUGCAUGCUGUAAUGCAUCCAUAAUGCAAGCUGAAAUAGUUUGCGCUUUCCAAGCUACCUUUACAGUAGGUAGCGGGCCCCGACAGUGGAGAACGAGGCGCAGUUUAUUAAUUAUGGCAAACGAGAGAGUAAGAAUGAAUAGUAAAAUUUCCUGCUACGAUAGCUGGGGGUCAUCAUCGUAUGGUGGAUGCAACCGCGCAGUGUUAAACGUAGAAAGUUUGUCUCGUGCAAAUAACAAAUCGUUAGCUCUAAUAAGUUACGCUAAAAGUCUUAUCACAAUAGAUGGUGAGAAACUAUGUUUGAGAAUAUUCCUUAUUGCAUCAAUUUCACUUUUUAGUUACAUGGCGAAAUGUGAUUGUGGAAGAAAUCAAAAGAAGAAAAAACAAGAUAUGGAGUAAAAUAUUCUACAUACAGUUUAUGAUAGAUCAGUUUUGCUCGGACUGGAAGAAAAUAAUGAGCUCGGUAUUCUACAAAGUAAUCCACAGACUAUGUUAGCGACGAAGAAACGAUAACUAGAGAGUCUGUAUGGUGAAACUGCUACAGAAUGUGUGUGGUUGAGUGUGUGUUUAUGUGUUUUUAUACACCAUGUUCGUUUGAAAGAUUUGUGUAUAAUGAAACAAAACAAAAAAAAAAUAAAAUAUUCAAAUCGCAUUUUUUCGGUUUUCCCGGUUUGUCUCGAUUGGGUUUUCUUUAAAGGAUGUGAGGGCGCUUGAUACGAAAAUUACACAAAAAUUGUGCUUGAUUUAAAUGAAACUAUGUAAAAGGCUUAGUUUUAAAAAUCUAUACUACCUUGUAUCAUGUUCUUGAUUUCCACCAAAACCAUUCGUUCCUAAUUUAAAGGUUAUCUACCUUUCAUGUACACCUGUAAAAAGCAUCUAAAUUUCUAAUCAACCACAGACAGGUUCGGUUGGAAAUAACCAUUUAGGAUACCAUCUACUCUCAGUUCGGCUCGUUUUAUUCAGUUACACAUACAUUUUUCCCCUUUCCAUUCUAAUUACAUUUUCUACAGUAAUGUAAACCUUUACAAGAUUCGUCGCAGAAACACGGAAGCGUUCCUGAUAUUCCGUUGUCCGUUGUUCCGUUCCAUCUGCAUUCGAAUGUUACCACAGUCGAACACCAAAUCUCUACUGACAUCUCUACAAACAUCAGCUUGUAGUGUGUGGCGCCAACCAAAACGAUUCAAGAAAUUGCGAACUUCACUUACGCGACGCAGCUGCUUCGUUACUUUGCAAUCAUCAAUCAUUAGUCAUCAGGCAAUAAUACAAUGUUUUUUUCAUUAAUGGUGUAUUCAAACCUAUCCGGUCCGAUUUAGUUCCGGUGCAGUUGUGAAUUAAUCUUGAGGUUUGAAAGUUUGCCUAGAUUAAUUGGUGAGCAUAUAGAAAAAUUCCAAUUUAAUAGUCUUUUAGUGCAUUAAUCGACAUAUGAGCUAUAUUUUCUUUCCGUAAUACCAAAACACAUAUGUCGUUUUCGUUUUGAAAUUGCACUACACCGGUGUAGGUAAGGUUGCAUUGAAACCGUUCGUUUUUACCAAUUGCACUACACCAGUGCUACACUUUUUCUGCACCGAUACCACUGGUGUAGCACUCAUCAAAAGUUUGGUGUAGCUCUGUGAAAUGGAACCGUUUAUUGUAGUCAAUGGUUACUGUUUAUGUUUUCGUCAUUUUUGUUCGUUUAUUCAUGCCUCCGUGUAGCACUGCACCGGUGUAGUGCAAAUUCCCGCAUAGCGUUUUGGCUACCUGGGCAGCCAUGGCCACCAGACGGCUACCAAAAUUGAUUCAGUGACGGUUGUCAAAUCCAAUUUGACAAAACAAAGUCGCCUGUAUCUAAGAGCAAAUUCAGCAACUGCAAGAUUCAUAUGGGUGGUCUAUAAUGUAAAUGAAACUGAAACAAACGUAUCCCCAGCAAUCCGUUUUAGUUUUAUUUAUUCGACCAGUUCUACUGUCAAAUUUAAAACUGGUAUACAUUGCCGUUCUAUUUUUUCUAUAUUUGAAACACAGAUGAAACGCAGCUGGGGCUGCCAGUUUAUUUUGUUAUAAUUUCUAGAUUUAAAUUUUAAAACUGACAUAAAUUAUGCAUCUAGAACUAGAACACUCCUGAAUAUGCCCUAAGUUAGCCGAGCGUUUUCAUUUUCUCGCUGAAAAUGUCAAAGAUUUCAAUGUGGAAAAAUCCUGGUGGAUACGGUUGUAUCGUUUGAGUUGUAUAUCUGGCAGCGGUGAGGCAGUCGGUGACCAGAAUGUCUGCCAGCUAUAUUUUUCCAGCUGGCAGCGUUUAGUCAGCCAUCUGGCAGCCAUGCGUAUGCGGGUUAAAAACGAAAACGCCAAUAGUUAGAGAUGUUAGCAGAGAUUUGUUGGUUUCUUCAUUUUUUUAUUCCAAAUUGAUAUGGAUACCAUUUUAAAGCCUUCUUCAAAAUUGUGGAUACACUGCUCUGCAAAGUGAGUAAGUGAGUUUUAUCAAUGAAAAAAAGCGAUAGUCGGAUGUGAUAAAGUCUGGAGAGUAUGGCGGAUGCGAUGAUAUUCCCCAAUCGAGUUCUUCUAAGUCGUUUUCGCUUGGUACCAAUCCUAAUCCAGUUAACACCCUAACUGUAUGUCAAACCGUUUCCUUUAAGCGAGUUCCGAACCUAACUUCAACGUCAUUGAACUAAAAAUUAAGACAGUUUCUAACCUGAUUGCGAUCCCAACUCAGUAUCGUGAAAAGUGUUUGUUUCAUUGAACUACCCUGGAUCAGUUUCAGUUUUCUCAAACGAAAUGGGAUUAAUGCAUGUUUUACUGGUUUGAGACGUUUCGUUUUCGAGCUGUGCGACGCAUCUUUUAAUGUUUUGGGUCGCAUUUCGGUGUUGAUAGAAAAGCUAAGGCAUGGUAUUACAUAUAUUAACCUUCUGUUUCAACAGACUUCGCAGUCGUUUCUUAGCAUACAUGGCUAGUGCUACGAUCCCACUACCACUAAACACCCUUCCAGGUAGGGACUCGAACAUGUGGCAACUGGUUUGUAUGUUUUAGAGUGUCCCAGUAAUCAAAUCCUAAGGUCGGUCUCUAUUUUAACCUACUGCAGCUCUUCCCAACCUGUGGUUCGCGGAACCCUGGGGUUGCGCGAAGUAGAUUUUCAUGGAAUUUUGCCAGCAAUUGUUUCUAGCCGUAUGUGUUGUUGUGUUUUAAGUCAAUAUAAUGAUCAUGUUGUCGUUUUCUCAAACUUGUGUGUCAUUUUCCGUUGAUACUAUUCAAUACUAGAUGUAAUAGAGAGUCAAUAUAUUUCUAGCACAAAAUUCAAAAUUUAAACGUGGAUGUUCGCGGAGAACUAAGGGGUCCGCAAAAUAACAAGGUUGGGAACCAUUGCUCUACUGCAGUUUCACAUUUCCGAGAUCCAAUCAAUUGUAUACCAAGAAGCGGAUUUUGUGUCUUUCGUUGUAUAUUAGCUAUUUGCCGCCGAUUUUGGAUACUUUUUUACAGUCGUUUUCAAAAGUUGUAAUUGAAUCCGACGGAUCAAAAUGUUUCCGUAAAUAUGACUUUGUCAGGACCCAGAAAUUUUCAAUUAGUCUGGCCUGGGGACAGUUUGGGGAAUUCAUCUCCUUGGAUAUGAAUUCGACUCUGUUGGCUUUGCAUCAGACUACCGCGACCUUCGCGUAUUGAAGUGAUGCAUAAUUUCCGACAAAAAUAGUGCUGGAUUCUGAUGUUUUCGGAUCAUAGGGAGCAGGUGCCACUGCAAGCAUUCCCGAACGUGAACAUACGAUAUCAUCGUAUCCGUUGCCAUAAAUGGGUUCAAAUUACUUGCCAAACCAUGACUUUUUUUUAAUAAUUUUUUCUGUAAAAAUCGACUUACCGGUAUAUUUUUGUCCAGCACGGACCGUCUUUCGGAAUUAUCAUACAUUCAAACUUCACGCUUACCCAUGUCCCUCACACAGGGUGACAAGUGGAAUUUGGUUUCACAGGGAAAAAGCCGGGAAUUUUAGUGUAAAACCUAGAAAAAUAUAACUAGCUCAAAUAUGAAAGGUUGCAGGCAACACCCACUUUUGCGUUUGAGCGAGAAGUUCAGCAGCAAUUGUCCAAUACAGGUUCUAUGUUGAACUAUCCAUUGGAAAUUGGUCCAACACCCCAUGUAUCGUCCAAUGAUUUUUUUAAGGGUUUAAAAGCCGUUUUGAAUCAAUCAGAAAGAAGCAGAACUUUUCUUUAACUUUACUAAUGAUUGCCCUAGUUGCAUCAUAAUUUGUCCCAGUAAUGUCACAUUGUAUUUGCUCAUAUUCGUGUGAGAUAUUGAUUUCAACAGGACCCACAAAAUUGAAAAAGUUGUCGACUUUGACAUUAUCAGCCGUCGGCAGGGAGCGCUGAAAAAACUAUGUUUAAUUUCCCAAAACAAUUUCAGGGUUCACAUUGCUUCCGGUAUAAGAUCUGUAUACUAGAUGAUUACUUCUAAAGUGGUAGAAUACAGAACUAAUUGAAUUAAUCAUUGCUUUAUUUGUAAUCCUGAGUAUUGUUAAUAGAUGAUCUGAUUCGAAGUAUAUUUGAGUAAUCCAUUCACUACAAAUGUUACAUUAAUCUGCUAGAUCCAAAUCAAUUGUAAAAGCAUUUCCCCUAUAAGAUAAACUAGUCGGGGCUAUUUGGAACUAAAAUUGGUUAAAAAUCAGCAAAGAGUUCAUUAUGAAGAACCAGUUUUUUGCUGGUCAUUUUCAGGUUAUCCCACGGGAGAUCCUAAGCAUUCAGAAAAAAAAGAUCGAUGCCUUAUGCGUUUUUGGAAAUUUCAUUUGAUUUAUUUGCUCGCCAACGCGCGCAAGCGACUACGAAUCUCUUAUAUUUCACGACGCUUGUGACGUAUGCAAUAUCCUGCAGUUUACAAACUAGCGUUCACUACACUGACCUUUCCACUGCUUUUGGCAAAAUUAACCACGUCAUUACAGUCACUUUGGAUAGAUUGGGUUUUGGUUCUAACAUGCGUUGGAUCCAUCUGAGAUUCCAUAAGGCAAGGUCUAGAACCUUUAUCUUUCCUCCUGUAUUCCAACGAUGUGAAUCUUUGUCCACGAUUAUUUUUCGCUGAAGCAACGAGGCAGUCAAUUCUGUUCUACACCAACUAAAAAUUUUUUCAAAGAGAUGUUAGGUAAAUCGAAUGGCUUUGAACGUUGACAAAUGCUCAAUGAUCACAUUCACGCAAGAAAAGUUCCUAUAAGAUACAGCUACUGCCUUGGUCUCUAUAAGGUUCAUUCAUUCGUACAACGCUCCAGUACUGCUCUACGAUAUGGAACCCAUAUUAUUUUAACGGUGCCCAUCGACUAGAAUCAGUACAGCGAAGAUUCGUUCGAUUUGCUGUUCGACAGCUACCUUGGAAUAACCCUUACGAGCUGCAUUGCUACGAAAGCCGUGGAUUAUUGAUUGGACUCGACACUCUUGGGAUUCGACGUGAUUCGCCAUCAUAUUGAACAACGAAAUAGAAUGCCCUGCACUCCUUAGUAAAAUUUUUAUUUUGAGAUGAGACUUUAAUUUUUUUGUCGAGCAUUACUUUCUAGAUAAUUGAAUUUAGGGAUUCUAUCAAUAAAACACAAUCGGUUCAUCCGAUUUCAAAAAUUAUUUUUUGAUAUUAAAGUACAAUCCUUCCGGUUAAUUGUGGAAUAUAAUUUCAUUCAAAUGACUGCCUCAGCUGACCUUGCAGUACGCCAUACGGUCGGUCCAGUUUUUAGUACAUUUUCGAUUGUAAGCAGCUUUAUUUCAGCUAUGGCUGCACGAAUGUUGUCCUUCAAGGCUUGAAUUGACUCUAGCUUGUCCACAUAACACUUAUCUUUGACAGCCCUCCAAAGAUAAUAGUCUAAUGGCGUCAAUCACAGCUCCGAGGUGGCCAAACGACAUCCGAAUUUCGACUGAUAAUUCGAUCUUCGAAGACUGUGCGCAGAAGAUCGAUGUGUGGCACGGAGCGCUGUCUUGUUGGAACCAAAUGGUGUCCAAGUCUUCCUCUUCAAGCAACGGGACGAACCAAUAGCUAAUCAUGGCGCGGUAGCGCUCGCCAUUGACCGUGGCGGCAGCUCGUGCCUCAUUUUCGAAGAAAAAUGGCCCAAUGAUGCCGCGAGACCAAAAUCCGUACCAAACCGUCACUCUCUGAGGAUGCAUCGGCUUCUCCAUGAUAACGUGCGGGUUUUUCGUCCCCCCGAUGCGACAAUUUUGCUUAUUAACAUACUUGCCGAGAUGAAAAUGUGCCUCAUCCAAGAAGAUGAUUUGUUGGCAAAAAUCGGCGUCUCCUUCAAGCUGAUCGCAAGCCCAGUUGGCAGUACUUUCACGCGUUCUUCAAGAGUAUACACAACCAUUUUCGUUCAGCGGAAGGAUAAAACUAAGUUUCUGUCAAAUCAGAAGAGACAUUAAGGUUACCAAUGUCGAAAUAACCGCUAGUUAAAAAAAUGUUAAAUGGCGGACUCUGUAGACGUUAUCCGUCGGGCUAACUCAAAAGUGGGCAGAGCCCAUAUGGGACUGAUAUGCGACUAUGGGCAGUAGAUAUGUAACGAACAUUUGUACAAAAACGUAGCUAUAAUCGAAAGAGAAUCUGUCAAUUGCUUUAGGCCCUUUUGAAUGUCGGCCCUUUAUGUCGAUAUCUAAUUCAUUUCGAUUCUAACACCAUCUUAACUCGUAGUGAGUAGCUGAAAUUUUCUUCUGUGCCUCUUACUUUCAUGUACUUUGGCGCAUUGAUUCCACAUCCGAUCCGCCUAGCUUCAGUUUUAAGUCCGAUGUACGUCUCCUCUAUCUUCUCAAAGUUACGUGCUAUAAUACUAUAAUCACCCUCCAAAGCAAUGUUGAUUUGCUAACACCAAAUGCCAUCACCAUGCCGUAACCAUCCAGUGCAUCCCUGAUACUCGACCACGAUGCUUCGGUCAUCGGUUCAUCGUAUCAGUUCGGCCGGAAAUUUGUAAUCGUGCAAAGGCUGAUAUGAAAUCGAUGAACAUUUGUUUGGGAUCCCUUAUAUGAAACAUCAAAAAUAACUACUACUCUUGACCAGUUUACAAGUGCUAAGUAAUGAUAAUAAUAAAGGGAAGCAUCCGCACUGACCUUGUCCGGCGGUAUCGGACAUCGCUUCCAAACUAUAUAGCAGGUUCUACAGUGUAGUAUAUAGUGAAAAUUAUAGGUUGUUCCAAGGCGAUCUCAGGUUGUACAACGUUGGGCAUCUUCUUCUCUCUCACUAUUUCUACUACAGGUUCAGCCAACUGUCCUCUAGCGUGUUCAAUAAGUCUUCCGAAUCUGUGCUGGGUUCGCGCUUAGCAACCGGAGUGUGAGCAAACCCGAUAUAAGACUCAGGUUCGAAACUGAUUCGAAUUUCUGUUCAAUAACGUUGGAACUAGGUCCAAAACUAGCUUCAAACAAACGCUGAUAAAUAUAGACGGUUUGAUAGCAGUUAGGGUGGAAACUGGGUUAGGUUUGGCAUCAAGCGAAAACAACAAUAGAGACAUUUUUCGAUUCCACAUUCUGUAGAUGCCACCGAAAGAUUAUUUACGUUGAGUGGAGGUCGGUUGUAUUUGUUUGUCGCAAUUUGGAAUCACCGAAGUCUCGAUGAAGAAUAUCGAAUUUUAAAUUAGUGCACAAGGUCGUUACAAACCGUACAAGUGAGCAGCUUUCUGAACUAAAAGCCAUAAUUAUAUUUUUUGAUAGUUACUUCAAAACCUUGACGUCAAGGUGUCCCAGUGGGUAGAUAUCCAAACUAAAACAAACAAUUUCAAAAAAGGCUUUGCGGAAGAUUUUGCUCGCAAUAAAUACCAUAGCAUACUAGUUCGAAAGCAAGUUUUCUCAAGGAUAAAAUAAAAAUAGGAGCAUUCGCUUCGAGUUUUCGCGUUGCUAUAACAACAGUAUUACACUAUUUUUAAUGCGGUAUUUCUUGGUGCCGAAGCAAAGAUAUUAAGCCUUAUUACCGGUAUCACUUCAUGAUGGAAAUCAAGUAAAGUGAAUGUACGUCCUUAUUAUGGAAGUCGCUUCAGAUUACGGAAGUUGCUUACCAACAUUUUGUUAAAAAACAGAUUUUGUUCACUACAACGAUCGCUACAUUGUGCGCGAUACUUAGUUAUAGGUAAAAUCAAGUGAAGUGGAAGUGAGAACGGUAAUAAGGACCAUUGUAUCCGAUCUCAUGAUAACUCGUUGAUUGAAAGUCGAGUAAUCGGAAUUUAACAUGGCGGCUCUACUCAUGAGAACACGAACACGAACUAUAUUGUGCCUCUAAAAAAACACGUGAUAUACUGUGAGUCUAAGUGUGCCACGCUGUUCCCCAUGAAACAGUUACUUGUCAAAACUGAGCCCUUUGUGUGCCGCAACUGUGCAACUGUAUGAAAACGAAAGUGCCAAUAUUGAUAAAUGCGCCAACGCAUUGUGUUAAUGUGUGAUUGGCACAUUGUUCUAAGCGUCCUCCCCUUGGCAAAUAAUCAAUUGCUUGCUGUCUCUCUCUUUUCAGCUAUACGCCACUCUCCUAAAAUCAGCGAAAAGCGAUGAGAACUUUUCCUGUUAUCAAAAAAAAAACGUAUUCACAGAUUCCUUUGAAAUGACAACGAUUUGAAUAUUUUGUAAUGCUUGUAAUCUUCCUAACAUCUUUUAAUCACACCAUACUGAAGUUUGGUAUCCAAUUUUUAAACGAAAUCUAGCAAAUGGAAGCAGAUUUCUUUGGCAACUGUUUGUUAAUAUUCAUAUAAUUAAAUUUCACACCUUAGUUAACGUCUAAGCCGAAUAUACAAUCAUGAAAGCAGGUAUUAGUUUGAAGAAAAAAAAAACACAAUCGAGACACUGGUAACCGAUAAACGCGAUCAAACCAGAUGUGUAAUUAAAAAAAGCAGAAAAAACUACAAUAAAGAACUGAUUUACGUCCCAAAAGGGAUGUUAGAGAAAAAAGAAUUGUGUAUAUUAUGUUUUCGAGUUCUGGUUAAAUUACUAUUAGCUAACCCAACUUUAGGUUACACAACAACCCAAAACUUGUAAAUAAUUCAUUUAGCAUAUUGAUUUCAUGCCGAUUAGGUUUUGAUUUUAGUUCAUUUACGAAACAAAAUAUUGCAAUUAUAUUUCCAUGUGCUUUGUACUACUCUCUAGUUAUUCUGACUACACAUCAACGAACAACUUGAGGACUGUGUUUAUGCUGCAGCAGCUCAUACUUUACUAAUCUUUAUUUCCUACAUGCAGUCCCAAACGACAUCUGAACCUUUUUAUUUUCUGUGUGACAACAAAGCUUGAAAUAAAUUCAAUAAAAUGUAAGAAAGUGACGUGCGGAGCAACCAGAAGAAAUGCAGCCAAACAAAAGAAGAAGUAAAAAAUGAUAUGAUAAAUAAAAUCUUUCACAGAGAUCUCAUUAAUUUCUCGUCGGAUUGUAGAGUUAGUUUUGUUCGUCUCGGCCGCCCGAGUAACGGCGAUGAUGCAAAAAAAAUCCACCACAUCAACUGGUUGGCGGUCAUACGAAUGCUAAAUGAAUUAUAGCUGUUAAGUUCUAUUCGUCGCGUUUACUAGUAAGCUUUGCGCCUUGCGUUGCUAAAGGAUUGUCGCUCGCGGAACUGAACGAGAAGCGAGAUCAGCUAAGGGAAAGACGUUCAACAAGUUCGAACCUAGAGUGGUACGAGAAUGAGACGCACGCCUGGUGUACUAGACAGACAGAUUGUAUAUACUAUCAGCAGGACACAGCAAGAAAAAAUAUGAUAAUGAGCGCAGUUUGGGCAUCAUUGGUAGGAAACUAGGAUUCAGUGUCCGGCUCAACCUGAGCAUUUUGGACCGCAAGCAAAGUCCCAAGCCAACUGUUAGUUUGAUAUGAUUAAAAUAAACUAAACUGGUGUGAUUCAGACGUAAGCAACUAUUGUGUAAUGCAACAUUUUAGAUUAAUUUGUGAGCCAAGUGUAGUAUUUGAACGUUGGGACAAAACGAAAAAAAAAAAAAACAAACAGUAACUAAUGAUGUAAGUAGCUUUAUCGCACACGGAGCGAGGAAAACAGUGUCUGCGUACAUAUUUGUAGCCAAGACACAAGCAUUUUAUAGCAAAAGUUAAGCCAUGAUGAUGGUGCUGCGAUCGCCCAGCAAAACAGAAUCGUGUCUCUCAACGUCGAAUAAAAAAAAUACAUGAAACAAGACUUGAUUUAGAUUCAUUUUACGUAGCCUAGUUUGUUGGUUUCCAACGAGACUUUAUAACUUUAGUUUGUAUCGAUGUAAGAUACCCAAAGCUCAUUUUUAAUUUGAGUUCUAUUUUAAGAGAGAUAUGAGACACCGAAGAGACCGCCAAUUAGGCGGAGCUAUAAUUUGGCGAUUUUUUCGCUAUGAUUACAAAAAAAAAACAAAAAUUCUAGCGCUUGAAACUUAUCAUUGUGACUACAUUUAGUGUACUAUUGCUCGAAACCAUCAACAAUACAAGAGCAUAUAGUAUCCAAACUGAAAAUAGGAAAGAUCAAGCAAAAUGCCAACGAUAACACUGAAGACAGAACGAUACUUUUUAGUUGUAAGUGGUAAAUCUGUGUAAUUAGAAGAAAAUGUAAAAUUUUUGUAAAAAAAAUAGAAAAUGAAAACGCACUUAAACAAGACAGAAAAUAUUCUCGUUUUUUUUAUUUUUGCUUCUUAUUUCGCUUGUGGUUUUUUAUUUAUUUGUGACUCCUUUCGUUUUUUUUUUCUUCUGGGUUAUUAUCUGUUCGUUGUAUGUUUAAAGAUGAUUUCAACUGUUAUAAUUCCUAUGAUUUGUAUUCUUGUUCAAUUAUUUGCAUUAUUGAAACACAUUUUGAAACAAUGUCGAAUUUUAGCAGUGUAGUGGGCCGACGCCAGAUCCGGCCAGAACACCGCAUCUUUGACCCUAUGGUAUUUCUUGAUGACCGACGUUCCUACUAUAAAUUUCCUGCGGUGCUAAAGAAAAGCAGCUUUGACAUCCCAUUCUCGCUGACUGGUAGCCACAGCAACACCUUUGGGAACUUGGUGUGUGCAAUAAGCUUCACCUAGGAACUCACUUCUUUCGUGGGGUAUGAAAAAUACGGAGUGCCUUGCCAGUCGUUCGUGGCAAGAUAGAUCUCGUCGUCCAUCACGUUGCGAUUCGCCGGGAAAAUUGAAUUGAUCACCUUAUUCGCUGCGGCUUUCUUUCGAUGCUCUGAUUGUUGUCUAAUAGUACCAAGAUGUUAUAGAUACCGGAACGGGCGUAUCGGGUGUUCACAAAGUGCCGCUGUGCCGAUUUCUAUUCUCGAAGCGACGGGGUGCCGUUCUUUGAACACGCACACUUCUGAACGGAGUUGCUUCACUGUUUUUGCCAUCACGAGUUCGACUGAUAGAGUUGUCAGUUUUUGUCUGCUGACUCGGGUAACCAUGAUUGAUGCUGCAUGGGUAAUUUCCUCAGUGCGGAUGAAGGUAAACCCAUGAAACAUUGGCAAUCUUCGUCCAUUUUUAUAAACUACAUUAUCACCCCGAUACGAACGAGUCUACACUCUCCUUCGAGUUCGAAUUUUGCAUUCUUUAUUUCGUUUGACUUGUAUGAUUCGAUCGACUCUCGUUCGGGAACACUUGAAAUUUCGAACACUAACUAUCAAAGCUGUCAACACUACUUACACUACUUCUUUUUAUAUUAUUCAUUUCUUAAUAAACGAAACCGUCACACUUGUAUAAACAAAUUAGAACGAUUCUAAACCGAACAGAAGUAAUUCGUACGCAAGUCAAUCAAGUAAUGUUCGAAAAUUGAACAACUCGAACGGAAUGCAGAAUGGAAAUUGCACAAUAUUUCGAAUCGAUCGACGUACAGAAUAGGGGUGUAUAACAACCGAAACAUAAAAGUUCGUUCAUCUACGGACAAAAGCCAACUAGUGAAAAUACAGCACCUGUCGGGAAAAUAACCAGAGAAUAGUCAAUGACAAAUAAAAGAAUCUGAUUUCAAGUCUCGGGUAAUUUUUCAAAAGGGCGUAUAAGCAAGUGGCAGUUUAUCUUUGUUUACUUUCUCUUCUAUUAAUUACCAAGCGGUUUCCACGUUUAUCACUCAACUCGUUGCAUGAAAUGAUACCCGAAAAAUUCGACUUUAAAACAGAAUAGUGAUAUCAAAGAAAAUCUUUUUAAUCACAUCACAAUAAUCGAAAGAGAGAGUGAUUAAAGAGAAACUGUCACUUGCUUAUACGCCCUUUUGAAAAAUUAACCGAGAAGUUAGAAACAAGCAAACACAGUAAAGGCAAUUUUAGUUCAAAAAUAACUUUUUGCCUUUCUCAUAUAGAAAGGUUAUGCAAAACCGACUUUUAAACCGAGGCCGAGUGUCAUAUACCAUUCGACUCAGUUCGUCGAGUACGCAAAAUGCCUGUAUGUGUGUGUGUGUGUGUGACGUUUUUUGCGCUAACUUUUCUCGGAGAUGGCUGAACCGAUUUUCACUUAGAUUCAAAUGAAAGGUCUUGUGGUCCCAUACAAAAUUCCUGAAUAUUAUUUGGAUCCGAUUUCCGGUUCCGAAGUUAUGGAGUAAAAUAUGCAACAAAAUGAAAAUAUUUGGUCUAACUUUUCUCAUAGAUGGCGCCACCGAUUUUCACAAACUAAGGUUCAAAUGAAAGGUCCUAUGGUCGUAAUUCCUGAAUUUCAUCCGGAUCCAACUUCCGGAUCCGGAAAUAUAGGGUAAAGUGUGUUAUAACUUUUAUACCAUCACUGAAAAAGGGCGAAAAACCGUAAACCGUUUUCUAAAUCGACCUCAAAACUUCUCCAAUUGAUAGCUUUUAUCAGUAGACGGUCAAACAAACUGAUUUCGGUUAUUCUUUUAAGAAUUAAUUAAUAAUAAUUAAUUUGAAAAAUGCCACAGUUUUAUAUAUGAUAGUAUGAUUGAUACGAGAAAGGCAUCAUUACACCACUAGGUGGAUUAAAACAGGUUUUGUGUUUUGAAUAGUUCAGUUGUGCCGUAAUGACAAGAAGUAAGGCCGGGAGAAAAACCCGGAACAAGUGUGUUUCUUCCAAACUUGCUAGAGGCAUUUCAGCAAACAUUCUUUCGCAAAAAAAAUCAGUGCCUGUUGUCAAAAAAACUUCGCUUUUAAUCUACAUGUUUAAAUUGCCUGCCAAACCAAGUUUUUUCGGGGAACUUUAAGAAAAAAUGUCUGCCUAAGGACAUUCCGUCUAUUCAUCACCGAAUCCGAAAAAAAUCGAAGGAUUAACUGUUAACUCAUUUACACUAACAUAUUAUUAUUCGGACUUGUUAUAUCCAUGUGCUAUAAUUUCACGUUUGAUUCAACGCAAUCAAUUCUGCACAGAUGUGGAACUUUUGGUUGCUUGGGUUUUUUCGAUGUAUUUAUCUCAGGCCUUCGCAUAAUUUACCUGUGGUUUCGGUUCCCAUAAGUUUCGAUUCACAAUGAUACAACAUUUUUCUAUUGGAAAAAGUUGUGGGGUGGUUGAAGGAAUGCAGUGCUUUGGUAUACUAUUGGUGUUGUUUUUUGAAUAAAUAACACUUCUGAGCCACUUCGCCAUAAUGACAGGGCACCAAAUCAGAGAAAAUAUUAUUAUUAUUAUUAAUAUCAUUUAUUUUACCCCGGUUUUAACCUUUUGGUCGUUCACUGGGAACAAAAAUUGUAAUAAAAUUUGAUUUUCAAAACUUUUUUUUCAUUUUAGUUCAAAUUUGAAUAGUGAGUUCGAGGAAAAAAGAUACUGUAUGGGCCGCGAAAAGCGUCCUCGCAGGUAAAUCAGCCGGUGUUUUCGGUCCUUAGUUUUGAUGAGGUGUUGGCCCGGAUAGUCCAGCGGAUGACCCGUGGUUACGAGGUUCCUCCUAUUGAUGGCGUUUGAACGCUGCACAUGGUCAGAACAAAACAACACAGAACUCGUAUGCAUUUGAAUGAAUGAUCGUAACCAUUUUUGAAGACAAUUGUUGACGUAAAAUUUUUGGUUAAAUGUACCUGUAGUUUUGAAGACUGACAAAUUUCAACUACAGGUUAUGGCCCACAGCCUUAGAAGUUCGUUCGGUUGUGACGCGUGGACUCUCAAGCAAAGCAAUGUCUUGGCAUAACAUUCCUUUUGUGGAAUUUGACCAUUCUGUUUUCACAGACUUCGCAGCCGAUCCAAUUGACAUUAAAAAACUUUCCAGAUCGGGGUUCAAACAAACUAGAGAUGGGGAGUUCGCUCCUGAGCUGUUCCAGUGAAUUGAAUCAUUAAAGGACUAUUCACACAGUUCAGUUCCGUUACGGUUCAGUGAAAGUGCUUUCAGUGCGCCGUCAGUGUUCUUUUUUUGCCGGAACCCUUCCGUUCCGUUUCCGUGCCGCUUCUGUUCCGGCACAGCAAAUGCAGUGACAUACCGACUUCAGUGAACAUAAAAAUAUAUCGGUGAGGACGAAUUUGAGUUUGCCGGACGGACGCUACACUGAUGGCGAGCUGCAUUGAAACGACACGGUGCCGGAUAGGUAUGAAUGCGCACAUAGAAAACGAAUGAAAUAAUAUCAGUAUCCGUGCACGGGUUGAUCUAUUUUAGAUCUGCGACUAAACCAUGUCAAUCGCAACGCUGAGAUCUAGUUCUAUUUUUCGAGCACAAAUUUGAAACAGAUUUCAAACUGCUCGACGAAUUUGUUUCAAAUUAAUUACAAUUUGAAACACAAAUAGAACACUGUUUUAAAUUUCUUACGUGAGUGUGGGUCGCGAGAUUCGACAGACGAAAUGUCAAAGAGUCGAAUGACAUAUCAGAAAUUGUCAAUAUAAGCAGGAAAUAUUCUGCACUGAAUAAUACAGUAUAAUUUAGAAGCACUGUAGCUCACUAUCAUCCAGAAAUUUUCUCUAGAAGUUCGCGACAAAACUUUAUAUCGUUUUCGAAAUCAUUUAUUUUAUUUGUUUGUUUCUGAUUGAGAUUUAAAUUUUGUAACUGACAUAAAUUAUGCAUCUAGAACUAGAACAUUCCUGAUCAUGUCCUAACCUUACAAAAAUGAACAAAAUGAAUCAAUUUUGACAGCUAUCAGUGGCUUGUUUAUGUGUUCAUUGCGUUCAUUCUAAUUUGAAUACGUUGUAAUCAGCCAUUUGACACCGGUAUGUGAGCACCAGCCAUUUGAAAGUAUACCGAUUACGUUGAGCCCCAAAACAAUGCGAUGUUUUGAUACUCAUCGCGAUUCUCAAAUUGUGAAAAUUAUCAUCACUUGAUGUCCCAAAACACUGUUUGCUGUAUUUUAGGUCAACUGUUAAGUUAUUGUGAGAGAGUCGAUACAAAAUUCACUAAUUUUCGUGCACUAAACAAGGUAAACGCGUAAAACAAAUGCAUUACUGUUUGUUUGUUUACGUUGCAAUCAGCUGAUUUUGAAGUUCCGAUUUUGAUCCGGUUGUAAUAUAUAUAAACAACCAAUGAUAGCUGUCGAAAGAAAAACUUGAUUCAUCGGUAGUUCAUUCGAGUGGCCAUCGUGCAAAAACUAAUCCUGUGGAUGUACUCCGUAAGCUGAUUAAGUCAAAUUAUUCCCUUUUAUGUAAACUUUCAGAGGGGUUAAAAUCUGCUUUCACAUUUGUUUCAACAUCCAUUUGUCAUUUUCAGUCACAUAUCGGAUUUGAGGAUCGCAGAUUUUGAACCAGAACAUCCACUUUCUUAUUACUUAAAAGUACUCGCGGAACUUUUGAAACUUUGAAGGUACAGAAAAAGUUCCGCGUAAACUUUCUCGUUGCUUAAGAAAACACAUGGUAAUUUUUGACAGUUCGAAGAGCAAAACACGUUCCGCGUGAAGUUUCUCGCUGCCUAAGGGAACGUGUGGUACUUUUGGCAACUUGAAAGUACAGAACAACUUCCUUGUGGACUUUCUCGCUGCAUAGAAGCUGAACAAUGUCCACUGGAAAUAAUUUGAACGCUAUCAUCAUGUUCAAAGCAUUUGAACUAUCACUACAUGUAGAACACAUGAAAUUUAUGAAAAUUUAAACUAAACUCAUAAAACAUGUGUGAAAACUGUUAAUAUUUAGUGGGAAUCAUGCAACAUUUAUCUGAAAUGCACAUCACAAAGGAUAACGAUACCUCUCAAUUCUAUAUGAAUGUCACGUUGUUUUCCAUAUAGAUUUCAAUUGAAACACGAUUGACCGAAUCAAGUGUUUUGCACAUACAUUUGUGCUGUACUAAUAUCCACUAGAAAAUGAAGUGUUUAACACAUUUCGUUCAAUUCAAUAGCAAAAUACAUCACAUCUAAAGGAAAAACACAUCAAAGCAAAGUGAAAAACAAUAUAAUCUUGCAUCUUAUUGAAUUUGCACAUGAAAUCUUAAAACUAUUCGUUUUGAUUAUGUAUUGAAAUGGAAAAGCAUAUUAAAUUGAAGUGCUAUUUACAUAUGAAUCGAUCGUGCAAAUUUUUUUCAGUGUAAUCCAUAGAAGCAACUUAGGCUGUGAACCAUUUCGCGGUUAAUUUUCACUUUUGGUUAAAAUCUGACACUUAUGUGGUUAUUUUGUAUCGGGUAGUUAAAUUUAACUACAACUGCGGCCCAUUUCAAAGUUUUACGGGUGGAAAGUUAUUUGGGUUUAUUUUGCACUGGAAAUAAUUUUGACUAAAGAAUUAAUAUUAGAAUUUUCUUUGCAAAAUUUUUUUCAGUGUCGGAAAAUAGCCAUCGAUCUGUCAAAAAUAAACCAUGCUUUCGAGCAGGGUUAUUUUUGACAACAUCAAAAUAACCACUAGAGUGUCACAUUUCAACCAUAAAUUAAAAUUAAUAACAAAAUGGUUCACAGCCAGCGAUGCCAACCCUACGGAUUUAUCCGUAGAUCUACGGAUUUCUGUCCUUUCUACGAAUCUACGGAUAGACCACUCAAAGUCUACGGAUUUAACAUAAUUUCUUCAAAAAAUUAUUGACUUUUCAUUUUUUAUUAUUUCUCUAGAUAUCUAAGAAAAAUAAUUGAAUAUUGUCACAUCGUUGUUAGAGAUAUAUUUUUUUUCCUCGUGUCUAUUUAUCAAACAUCUAUCAUCACCGAUUACUCAUUUUUAGACGUUUGUCUUUAUCGCUUAGAAUUUCAAACUGUUAAUUUGUCGUACCUUUUGAUUUAUUUUUCUCGUAUUUGGAAAUUACUAAUUUUCAUUCUAAGCAUUUAGACGCAUUUAGUAAAUUGUUUUGUCUUUAUUGGGAAGGAUGAUUUGUCAGGCGAAAGAGUUUCGCUAGAAAAGUUCGUCUCAAUGGAGCCAAAUCUACGGAUUUGAUCUCAGGUUGCAUCGCGCGAAUUUUGGAAAGUGUGAAUAAUUACUUCAAAACGGGCUGCUUAGAUUUCUAUUCAUGACUUCGUAAGGGCAUAUUCAGUAGUGUUCUAGUUCUAAAUGCAUAAUUUAUGUCAGUUACAAAAUUAAAAUCUGGAUUUUAUAACAAGAAAGACUGACAGCCCCAGCAGUGUUUUACUCGUGUUUCAAAUAUACAAAAAAUAGAACGGAAUCGUAGACCAAUUUUAAAUUUGACAAAAGAACUGGUCGAAUAAAUAAAACUGGAACAGCUUGCUGGGGAUACGUUUGUUCUAGUUUCUGCUCUAUUAUAGAUCUUCCAUAUAGAACUUCUAGUUGCUGAAUUGGUUCUAAGCUGCUUAAACCAAAUCAGUUCUUUUAAUCCGAACUUGUAUUUCGUGGGGUACGCAUAAUAAAUGUUAUGAGGUUACACAAAUGGUAAUUUUGACUGAACAGAAUGACAGAACGAUGAAAGCGAUUGUUAGAAGCAGUCCAUAAAACUAGUAGCCAGGGAGAUUUGUAUCUCAUCAAUGAUUGUUACUACGUAUGCAUUUAAAUGUUACCUAAAUUUACGUAAAAUUAUACGACUUCAGUACCGUACAUUUCUGUUAAGGUAAUUUAUUUAUGCACACGUGUUUUUUUUGUAUAUAACCUGCAACUUGUUUUUUUUUUGCAUAUGAGUUUAUUUUUUCUAUAAUAAUAAGUUACUGCUGAAAUUUUUGAAAGGAUUACAAUUUUCUUCCAUUCUAUCACGAUACACUAAGCCAGAUGAAUAGAUCGAGCACGCAACAUGUUGGGUAUCAAAAUAAAAUGCUUAAACUAAGAACCAAAGUAGAACAAUAACUUAAAUUAUGACAGGAGCACAAAUAAACUCUACCUAGUGUAUGUAAGCCACAUUUAACAGUUUACUGAUCACAGCCACUGAAGUAACAGUAUCGAUUCCGGAUAAUGCUGGCCAUUUCUAGAACGGUACAAUCGGAACCAAUAACAAUGCAACUAAUGUUAAUGUUCAGUCAAAAGUAUCCUAAUAUUGGAAGAAUUGCACAGUAGUGGACGCCAAAUCUACAGUAUACAGCACAUUAUAGGUUUCUGAAAAGGGUAAAUGCGCCUGUUUAUAGCAAACAAUGACUGAUUAUUUUUGAACAGCGAUGUCCAACAUUAGACAGCAUGGAGACUAUCGCAAUACAGCAAUAUACACCCAGCUAACAGUGUCCGCAUUGUUGUUCCAUUGUAGAAAUAAACAAUACGAUUUGUAAAUAUGAAAUGAAAAAAUCAAUUCAUUUUCCACAGCAAAAAACCAGAAACAUGCAUUUAGAGUUAGUGAUAAAAAAAUGCAAAGAUAAUGUUGCAACCAUCAAACAAUAAUUAUGUGUAAGAUUAAACGAUAAUUAUUUUUAAGUAGCGACGCUUGUCGACUGAUAUCCUGAACAGAUUGAAAUUGAAUAUUUUUUCUAUCGCAUCAAAUUUAAAGUGUUGUUUAUGUAAAUCGAAUGGAUGCAAAACUAUCUAUAUAACCGGUAUCUUACCAUUUGUUUAAAAAUCUAUAUCAAUCCUCAAACGAUUCAACUAAUUAAUCACAAAUCGAACUGGAUCUGAUUAAUGCGUUAAUUGAAAGAAUGCAAAGAUAACCCGAAAAACGCGAAACACAUAUAAAAGUCAUAGUAGAAAUAAUACAGCUUUUGAAUGUGAUAACCUAAGCAAAAGGUAAAGUAAAUAGAUAACUGUAACCAUGGUUGCAAAUAGUGUUCUGUCUAAGUACGAUAAAUAGUAUCCGACUGUACUGGCACCAAAUCUCCGUAGUAUAACUGUUCACACUAACAACUAACUAAUACUCUGUUAUCCUCAUAACUCAACAGACUGAAAAUACCAAAAUAAAAAAAAGUCUGUAUUUAGCUCUGACAUCUUUGACAAAAGCAACGAGACCACAUUUUUCCAAACAGUCAAAUAUCGUUACUACAGUUACUAUAGCGAUGAAGCGGUAUCCUCUGAACGCACGGUUUCAAAACAAUCAGCCAAAUCAUGAGAAGAAACAGUGGAAACGAAACGUUAUUUCACACCAUUCGUUCAUCAAUACAUACAAAAUACACAGACACCACAUACCGACAUAAUGAAAAUAAUUGAGCCAUAAAUCCGGUUUUAUAUACAAGUUAUAGUUACACACUUUUCAAAGUUCAGUUCCACACCGAACGAAGUAAUCCCGAUACAGUUGGAGGAUCUGUUAGCAAAAAACUUAAAUAACACAAACCAACUACAACAACAAAAACUAAGUAAAAUAUGUAUAUAACAGCACCAAGAUAAGCCUUUGACAAAAGUAUGUUUGAAGAAUGUUAGUUAAAAAUCAGUAGCAACAGAGCAAUUUAUUAAACAUUGGGAAAGAAAACAUAAAAACAUGUAACCGACGAAACAUUUGGAAUUUGAACAAAACGCACGUGUUUGCAGCCUAAAAUUUAGUACUCAACUGUUUCGACAAUUGAGAAAAAGUAUGGUAAACCAAAACAAAAACCAUGUAUAGCACGUAAAAUCUGUAAAAGUAAUGAUUGGUAGAGGAAAAAUUAAGUAAUUUGAAACUUGCCAACAAAAGUCGCUGAAAAAGAAAACAAACAGACAUUUGCUGUUUUAGCUGGGAAGUAAAUUAAUCCUGGUUCUACAACACAAUUUCAGGAACUAUUGUAAUGACUUUGUGUGAUGAUGAGAAGAGAUGAUAUAUAAAAUUAUAACAGUCAAAUCACUUGUAAAUAAAUGUACAUUGUAGUGAUUGUGGAAACAAAUGACAGCAUAAAUAAAGAGUCAUUGUAUAAAUUGUAGAA